rnacentral:rRNA from 1 species
AUUGAACGCUGGCGGCAUGCUUUACACAUGCAAGUCGAACGGUAACAGGCCUUCGGGUGCUGACGAGUGGCGAACGGGUGAGUAAUGCAUCGGAACGUGCCCAAUCGUGGGGGAUAACGUAGCGAAAGUUACGCUAAUACCGCAUAAGCCCUGAGGGGGAAAGCAGGGGAUCGCAAGACCUUGCGCGAAUGGAGCGGCCGAUGUCAGAUUAGCUAGUUGGUGGGGUAAAGGCCUACCAAGGCGACGAUCUGUAGCGGGUCUGAGAGGAUGAUCCGCCACACUGGGACUGAGACACGGCCCAGACUCCUACGGGAGGCAGCAGUGGGGAAUUUUGGACAAUGGGCGCAAGCCUGAUCCAGCCAUGCCGCGUGC